rnacentral:tRNA from 1 species
GGCAUUUAGCUCAGUAGGUGAGAGCAGUUGACUCAUAAUCAACAGGUCAUAGGUUCAAGUCCUAUAAUGCCC